AGUUUUUAUGAGAACACGACCAGGCUCAGUUAUUUGCCUGCUGUCCGGGCGCCUUUGCAGCUGCUCCGACAGACCGGAGACGUUUCAACCGAGACCAAAGCAGGCGGCCCAGCGGGGCCUGGACGACGCGGCGCUGCAGGCAACGGCGAGGCUGGAGCCCGUCCCGUGGCGUCGGGUGCAGCCGCCUCGCUCCGCGGGGCCGCGGGCCUCGGGCUCUCGCUCCGGAGGAAGCCGAGGGGGAGGCGGCGCUGCUGCCGGGCGGCUCCCAGGGCCGAGAGAGAUGUGCGGGACGAAUGGAGCUGGUUGGGGCGGGGGAGGCAUCCGGGGCCGCUUAGAGACCGCAGCCCCUGUCUGAAGUCCGUACCCGGAGCUCCGCCGCCGGCGCCGCUCACCUUCCAAGUCCAGCUUCAGCGGCCUCAGCCCCUCGGACGCUCCCAGGCGCCUCCCGGCGGCGGACUCGUUCUGAAGCCCCGCGGCGCGCGCCCGACGGCAGCAGGUGCCCCGGGGCGGCCAGACGCUGUCGCGGGGCUCGCGGGGCUCGCGGGGCUCGCGGGCGUCGGGGCGCAGGGGCGGACGUGGGCCGGCGCCAGGUACCCGCGGCCUCCUGCCCGCUGUUCCGCCGGGAGCGUGACGGGCGCGUGGAGCGCGUGGGGCGCGGACACGGGGGGCGGCGGCUGGUCCCCUGGAGCCUCCAGUCCGCCGGGGCCGGCGCGGGAACCCCUGAGGCGACGCGGCGGAGCAGGCGCGGCCGCGGGGAGGGGCGGGGCCGAGCGGCGGGGCGAGGGCGCUGCGGGCGGUCUGGGUCCCGCCGGCGCCCGCGGGCCUCCCCGCGCGCCCUUCCCCCGGGGGCCGGGGCUCCCUCCGCGGGCUCCCGGGUGCGCCCCGGGCGGAGGCCCCCGACAGGCAGACGCCCGGCAAGUCGCCCGCGUUCGCGCCUCGUCCCCACGGGGAGCGGCCCCCGCGGCCGGGAGGAGCCGCCGAGUCUCGGGCCUCCCGCGCGCCCGACCCCGCCCGGAGGCCGCCGCAGCACCGCCCGCCAGUCCCGCGGCGCGCCCGACGGCCCCGCGGAGGCCGCUGCCCUGCCCGCCCCCGCCCCCGCCCCGGCCCCGCGGCCGCCGCUGCCCUGCCCGCCCCCGCCCCCGGCCCGGCCCCGCGGCCGCCGCUGCCCUGCCCGCCCCCCCCGCCCCGGGCCCGCGGCCGCCACAGGGACGCCCGGGGCCGGGCCGCAGCAGCGACGGCGCGGACCGGCCCCCGCGGGAGGGAACAGCGCGCGCUGCCGGCUCCGCAGGCUCCGGGACCAGGGGCCGCGCCUCAGGGCGACCGCGGCGGGGGCCGCGGGAGGGGCGCGACGGGCGAGCGGAGGCGGCGCUGCCGACGCCUGAGGCGAGUCCUCGCGGGGUCCGGGGCACCUCCCGACGCGGGGGACCCGGGGAAGGACCCGCGGCGCGUGGCGGGCAAGGCGGGCAAUGCGCUCCUCGGGGGCGCGGCCCUGUCACUCGGGCGCGCUGCGGGCCGGGGUCCCUGUCCUGCUCCGGGGACGCGACGGCCGGCCCCGCCCCGGACCAAAGGCAAGGGCGGCCGACCCCACAAGGGGUCCUCCGACCCACGUUGCGACGGAAAGCGGGUCCAGCCCCGGCUUCUCCGGGCCGCUCACCUGUCCCCAGGGUGGCCGCGGAAGCGCAAGCACAGCGAGGAGGCCCUCGUACCCGCCCGACACCCGCAAAGGGCUUACCCGGCAGGGCCCGCCCACCUCCACCCGCGACCGUCAGGUGA
rnacentral:lncRNA from 1 species